AUUGAACGCUGGCGGCAGGCCUAACACAUGCAAGUCGAGCGGAUGAAGGGAGCUUGCUCCUGGAUUCAGCGGCGGACGGGUGAGUAAUGCCUAGGAAUCUGCCUGGUAGUGGGGGAUAACGUCCGGAAACGGGCGCUAAUACCGCAUACGUCCUGAGGGAGAAAGUGGGGGAUCUUCGGACCUCACGCUAUCAGAUGAGCCUAGGUCGGAUUAGCUAGUUGGUGGGGUAAAGGCCUACCAAGGCGACGAUCCGUAACUGGUCUGAGAGGAUGAUCAGUCACACUGGAACUGAGACACGGUCCAGACUCCUACGGGAGGCAGCAGUGGGGAAUAUUGGACAAUGGGCGAAAGCCUGACCCAGCCAUGCCGCGUGUGUGAAGAAGGUCUUCGGAUUGUAAAGCGCUUUAAGUAGGGAGGAAGGGCAGUAAGUUAAUACCUUGCUGUUUUGACGGUACCAACAGAAUAAGCACCGGCUAACUUCGUG
rnacentral:rRNA from 1 species